CGAAGGUGGGGUUAGCGAUUGGGGUGAAGUCGUAACAAGGUAGCCGUACCGGAAGGUGCGGCUGGAUCACCUCCUUUCU
rnacentral:rRNA from 1 species